rnacentral:rRNA from 1 species
GUGGGGAAUCUUAGACAAUGGGCGCAAGCCUGAUCUAGCCAUGCCGCGUGAGCGAUGAAGGCCUUAGGGUUGUAAAGCUCUUUCGUGGGGGAAGAUAAUGACUGUACCCCAAGAAGAAGCCCCGGCUAACUCCGUGCCAGCAGCCGCGGUAAUACGGAGGGGGCUAGCGUUGUUCGGAAUUACUGGGCGUAAAGCGCACGUAGGCGGACUGGAAAGUUGGGGGUGAAAUCCCGGGGCUCAACCCCGGAACUGCCUUCAAAACUCCCAGUCUUGAGUUCGAGAGAGGUGAGUGGAAUUCCGAGUGUAGAGGUGAAAUUCGUAGAUACUCGGAGGAACACCAGUGGCGAAGGCGGCUCACUGGCUCGAUACUGACGCUGAGGUGCGAAAGCGUGGGGAGCAAACAGGAUUAGAAACCCGGGUAGUCC